CGAGUCGCAAGCUCGCGAGAGUAAGCUAAUCUCUUAAAGCCGUUCUCAGUUCGGACUGUAGGCUGCAACUCGCCUACACGAAGUCGGAAUCGCUAGUAAUCGCGGAUCAGCAUGCCGCGGUGAAUACGUUCCCGGGCCUUGUACACACCGCCCGUCACACCAUGGGAGUUUGUAACGCCCAAAGUCGGUGGCCUAACCUUUAUGGAGGGAGCUGCCUAAGGCGGGAUAGAUGACUGGGGUGAAGUCGUAACAAGGUAAC
rnacentral:rRNA from 1 species